rnacentral:lncRNA from 1 species
AGAAAACUGCCCCACAUCAUCUGCAGUAGGACGGGGGAGUUGGAGCCCUGGUCAGGCCACUCUGCUACUGACCACAGUUUUCUCAUCUCUAAAAAGGCGCAGUAACAAUAUAAUUACCGUAUGCAGUCCCCCAGGAUACAGGGUCAAAGGAGAGCACAACCAUCGCAGUUGGAAGCCCAUGGGGCAGGGCCCAGGACACAGUGAGCAUACAAUAGACAUUAGCUGCUGUGGUGUCUUGAUUUCAAGCCCAGUGCAGAUGCAUCUGACUUACGAAACUUCAGUGACACCUGCUCUGUGCCAGACACUGAAGAUGGAGCAGUGAACAGCACUGACCCAGCCUGUCCUCCUGUUGCCUGCAGGCCAGACGGAGUCUCACUCUGUCACCAGGCUGGAGUACAGUGGUGUGAUCUCGGCUCACUGCAACCUCCGCCUCCCAGGUUCAAGCGAUUCUCCUGCCUCAGCCUCUCAAGUAGCUGAGAUUACAGACGUGUGUCACCAUGCCCUGUUAAUUUUUGUUUGUUUGUUUUGUUUUUUGUUUUGUUUUGUUUCGUUUUUUGUUUUUUUUUUUUGAGACGGAGUCUUGCUCUGUCGCCCAGGCUGGAGUGCAGUGGCCCCGAUCUCGGCUCACCGCAAGCUCCGCCUCGCGGGUUCAUGCCAUUCUCCGGCCUCAGCCUCCCGAGUAGCUGGGACUACAGGCAUCCGCCACCACACCCAGCUAAUUUUUUGUAUUUUUUUUAGUAGAGACGGGGUUUCACUGUGUUAGCCAGGAUGGUCUCGAUCCCCUGACCUUGUGAUCCACCCAAGGCCUCGGCCUCCCAAAGUGCUGGGAUUACAGGCAUGAGCCACCGUGCCCGGUCAAUUUUUAUAUUUUUUGUAGAGACAGGGUUUCACCAUGUUGGCCAGGCUGGUGUCGAACUCCCGACCUCAGGUGAUUGUCGGCCUUGGCCUCCCAAAGUGCUGGGAUUACAGGCGUGAGCCACCGCGCCCAGCCGGUGGGCAGCCAGUUGUGUUCCGGGAGGAGGAGGACACCCUGGAAAGACAGUGGGGCCAGACACUGAACUGCCUUUGGAAGCAAGUAGGAGCAACAGCGAAGGUUUGCUGGCUCAGAAGCAAGGUCUCGCUGUGUUACCCUGGCUGGAGUGCAGUGGCUACUUACAGGCAUGAUCAUAGCAUACUGCAGCCUCGAACUCCUGGACUAGAGCAGUUCUCCUGCCUCAGCCUCCAGAGCAGCUGGGACUGCAGACACGCACCACAGAGCCCAGCCUGAGUCAUUUUGAUUCUGUAACUGGCUUCCUCUCGGCGGGCAGGCUCACACCCUCCACCCCCAGCUGGAGAUGGAAGGAGGAUGCUCACCGCCCAUUCCUCAUGCAGGCCAUCGAUGGAAAUGUCAGACAGUGCGAGUCCACGCCUGAACACUUCUGGGGUCCGCUCUGGGACUGACACUGGCAGAUCCAUCGGUGAGCUCCCGCCUGCCACCUCUGGGCCUGCAUUGCGGUGAUAGGGCCAAGGGCCUGGGCCUUCAAUUCUCCAGACUUGCCAAAAUGCUCAGCGCAGGCCUCGUCGGCAACUGCAGACAAGCAGAGGCAGCACCUGGGCUCUGCCUGUGCCUGGCACAGUGAAGCGAGGGUGGGGGCAGGAAUGAGGGUCCUCUCCAUGCAAGGGGGGAAGAUAGAAGAACAAAAUUUCACCCUAAUGUAGUGUCUUUAGACCGUGCAAUGUUGUGCUCCUGUUAGUCUGAUAUCAGGGGCUUGCAGCCUGGCAAAGGAAAAAAAACAGGCUGAGGCACAUGAUAGAAGACAGGCAGGGAUGCCACAAUCAUAACCAUGGCAAAGACCAGGAUCAGAAAGGCCCACCAUCUCUGACCCCAAAUCCCUGGGCAGAUGGUUCCAGAACUCAGAAUUUUCCCAGUUGUAGAAAGAUGGGGCCAGGUGCAGUGGCUCACGCCUGUAAUCCCAGCAUUUUGGGAGUACAAGGUGGGCGGAUCACCUGAGGUCAGGAGUUCGAGACCAGCCUGGCC